rnacentral:rRNA from 1 species
GCUAGCAACUAUAUAAAACUGCAACAUACUGAAGCUAAGCAGGUGUGAGCCUGGCUAGUACCUGGAUAGGAGACCUCCUGGGAAAGCUAAGGUUGCUGCUGGAA